rnacentral:misc_RNA from 1 species
AACACUGUUAACCUGCGGUACCUGCGGAAGGAUCAUUACCGAGUGCGGGUCCUUUGGGCCCAACCUCCCAUCCGUGUCUAUUGUACCCUGUUGCUUCGGCGGGCCCGCCGCUUGUCGGCCGCCGGGGGGGCGCCUCUGCCCCCCGGGCCCGUGCCCGCCGGAGACCCCAACACGAACACUGUCUGAAAGCGUGCAGUCUGAGUCGAUUGAAUGCAAUCAGUUAAAACUUUCAACAAUGGA